GGGGUCAUUUUGGCUAUUAGUGGCUUGCUUGGCAAUUGGGCUUUGUGGGUUGCUACUAGUUUGGGUGUCUUCGGGGAUGUCUACCGUAAAGGUGCAUGAGUGGUGUUUGGUUUGUUACGGGUGGUUGGCUCUUUGCUUGCGCAACAACUUCCACCUGGCAUACCUCUUCAGUCUUGUGUCAAUGUUUGUUUUGCAUUGAAUGCACGACGGGUUUCUUGUGUUGCAUGCCUAAUUAAUGGUAUCGUUUGAUGAAUUGGUUUCCCUUUUCGUCUUGCGUCGCCUAUGCGAUGUGAGAUGAACCAUGAAGCAGCCUUUGUGAUCCACACUCUUGAUGCAUACGCAUUGAUUUUGUGGCCCAUUAAGUGUUGCUCGGUCUCAUGGAUAUGGAACCUGGUGUGGGCAUGGAAUCGUAAUGGUUCCUUGUUUGCCCAAGUUUAGCUUUUAUAAAACGAUUUGUCUAUCAUGUGUUAGCGUGGUAGACUAUGUCGAAUAUGAAUGCUACCUGGUUGAUCCUGCCAGUAGUCAUAUGCUUGUCUCAAAAAUUAAGCCAU
rnacentral:misc_RNA from 1 species